rnacentral:rRNA from 1 species
ACGCACGCUGGCGGCGUGCUUAACACAUGCAAGUCGAACGGAAAGGCCCUGCUUUUGUGGGGUGCUCGAGUGGCGAACGGGUGAGUAACACGUGAGUAACCUGCCCUUGACUUUGGGAUAACUUCAUGAAACUGGGGCUAAUACCGGAUAGGAGCUCCUGCUGCAUGGUGGGGGUUGGAAAGUUUCGGCGGUUGGGGAUGGACUCGCGGCUUAUCAGCUUGUUGGUGGGGUAGUGGCUUACCAAGGCUUUGACGGGUAGCCGGCCUGAGAGGGUGACCGGCCACAUUGGGACUGAGAUACGGCCCAGACUCCUACGGGAGGCAGCAGUGGGGAAUAUUGCACAAUGGGCGGAAGCCUGAUGCAGCAACGCCGCGUGCGGGAUGACGGCCUUCGGGUUGUAAACCGCUUUCGCCUGUGACGAAGCGUGAGUGACGGUAAUGGGUAAAGAAGCACCGGCUAACUACGUG